rnacentral:tRNA from 2 species
GCCCGGAUGGCGGAAUUGGUAGACGCGCUGGACUUAAAAUCCAGUUCUCAGUACUGAGAGUACGGGUUCGAUUCCCGUUCCGGGUACAA